GACGAACGCUGGCGGCGUGCUUAACACAUGCAAGUCGAACGGAAAGGCCCAGCUUGCUGGGUACUCGAGUGGCGAACUGGUGAGUAACACGUGGGUGAUCUGCCCUGCACUCUGGGAUAAGCCUGGGAAACUGGGUCUAAUACCGGAUAUGACCAACUGUCGCAUGGUGGUUGGUGGAAAGCUUUUGCGGUGUGGGAUGGGCCCGCGGCCUAUCAGCUUGUUGGUGGGGUAAUGGCCUACCAAGGCGACGACGGGUAGCCGACCUGAGAGGGUGAUCGGCCACACUGGGACUGAGACACGGCCCAGACUCCUACGGGAGGCAGCAGUGGGGAAUAUUGCACAAUGGGCGCAAGCCUGAUGCAGCGACGCCGCGUGAGGGAUGACGGCCUUCGGGUUGUAAACCUCUUUCACCAGGGACGAAGCGUGAGUGACGGUACCUGGAGAAGAAGCACCGGCCAACUACGUG
rnacentral:rRNA from 1 species